UCGGCUACAAGUAGUUCCUCGAC
rnacentral:siRNA from 1 species